rnacentral:lncRNA from 1 species
UUUUCAGUGUGUAAACACGGGUCCACAAAUGCCAGGUUAUCCAUUAUUAGGUAGGUCUUCCAGUCCAGGAUUAUGGAACACUAAAUUUUAGAUUGCCCCCUAUAAAAGCUCAUUUCCUCUUUUUUUUUAUUUAAACCAUCUCAAGCCAAGCUGCCCCCCACUCCUCCACCAACAACCCGCGGCCAGCAUCCCCGGGGAAAGGCUGUUGACCACGGCCCAAGGUUAAGACAAGCUGAACAAAGCAGCCAAUCAGCGGAGGAGGGCUCCGGGGUGCUGAUGCUCGGAGACAAAUAGUACGGUGCCGAGCGGAUCGAUGACUACUUGAUUGCGCAUGAAUACAACAUACAUGUUGCCAAUGCUUUGCCAGCGCUCCCAGCGGGCGCCCAUGCAGAUCAGAGAGCGUAGGAAGAACUGAUAAGGGAUCCCCCGUGUGCAAACCUACGCUCUCUCCUCCCCAGCCGGAAAGCAUCCUACAGGAGGACCAGGACCGCAGCAUCCCUGUGCUGGAAUGUUCUCAUUCAAAGGAAUCGGGUUUCUUGGAUGCCAAGAAAAGAGAUAUAAUUGACAUCAGCACCUUAUUUUCAAGAAGUUACCAGAUGGCCUGCUACCUGGGGAGGAAGAGGGGGUCUCUCACUGAUACCCAUUCUACACCCUCCACCCAAAUAGAGUUCCCAGCUUGUGCCAGGGCACACCACCGCCUAAUAUCUACAUCCUGGUGAGCUUAAUGUUGCUCAUCUGAAAUUAGUUUGCAAUAGUGGCCAAAUAACCUUCCUUCUGUUCCUAGAGCAACUCUUCUGGUCCUUAAAGGCCAUCUACACCCACAAAAUGUCCAUCCAUGUGACAUUCUAUUUGGAGUAAUUAAAAGAAUGUCCACUGAAGUCCUCUUUUGAUGGAAGUGAUCAGGAAUAAACUUUGAAUAAUGGACCUAGUGGUGUUGACC